GGUCAUAUCACGUUGAAACACCUGUUCCCGUACGAUCACCGAAGUUAAGCAACGCCGAGCCUGAUCAAUAAAUGAAUGUGUGACCGCUUGAAAAUGCUACCUGCUGUAAG